GCUGAGGUCGCGUAAUCUGGUAUCGCACUAGUCUGCUAAACUAGCGCCCUUGUGGCUUGUGGGUUCAAAUCCCACCCUCAGCG
rnacentral:tRNA from 1 species